GACGGAGGAUGCAAGUGUUAUCCGGAAUCACUGGGCGUAAAGCGUCUGUAGGUGGUUUAAAAAGUCUACUGUUAAAGCUUGAAGCUUAACUUCAAAAAUGACCGUAGAAACUUUUAAACUUGAGUAUGGUAGGGGUAGAGGGAAUUUCCAGUGGAGCGGUGAAAUGCGUAGAUCUUGGAAAGACCACCAAUGGCGAAGGCACUCUACUGGGCCAUUACUGACACUAAGAGACGAAAGCUAGGGGAGCAAAUGGG
rnacentral:rRNA from 1 species